UCAAGUCUUAAUCCUAACCCAGUACCCAAUUAAACUCAUUUACAAUCUGAUUCACAAACCCACGAGAGAGAGAUUGAACAGUUCCAAGUCGGCCAUUAUCUUUCAAAGCAAAAACAAAGAGCUCGAUAUCGAUCAUGGAGGAGAUGAUGAAGAUGAAGAAGAAGAAGAAGAUGAGGACGACUACAGUAUUCGCAACAACUGGACGAUACAGUUGUAUUUGGUGGCCGGAGACGGAGGAGGUUCUGUCGUGGCGGGGUGGUUGGAUCUCACUUCGACUUUCGGCAAAGCCGCGGAGCAGAGGAUCGUGCCUUAGCAGCAACAGAAACCUCUGGUCAAGAAGAGCCAACGUGGAAAAAGUCUUGAAGCUCACAGUAUCAAGGCGUUAUGUUUUAUCGAAGAACUAGUCGAUGGGAAUCGCAUAUUUGGGAUUGAGGAAAGCAAGUGUUUUUGGGAGGAUUUGACGCUGCUCAUGCUGCUGAUAGGUAUAUAAAAAUGAACUGUUUCUGAUUAUUCUGAUUGCAAUGGUUGUAGUUUUUACUAUUUUGGAUAAAAUGAACUUGUGGGAAUGUUAUGGCAAUUCGGGUUUUUUCGAUCACGGGUGAUUGGGCUGCGAUCAAGUUUUGAGGAGUGGAAGCUGAUAUAAAUAUAGAUUUCAAUAUCAGUGACUAUGAUGAUGAUAUUAAGCAGGUUGAGUGUGAGAGUCCUGUGUAGUUUGAUUGAUGCAAGGUGGACCAUAACCAAGCCAUCAUGAGUUGCAGACUUGGUUGUAGCUGUGGAGGUACAGAAAGAUGGUAGCAAUAGCAAAGGCUACGAUAGAUGAGACAGCAGUAAAGGGAGAAAUCUGGUGCCCAAGGGGAUUGCAAGAAUUAGUGGAGGUGGAGAUAGUUAAAACUUGAACCCGAAUGUGAAGCCUCCAUUACCAAAAUGAGAGCAACUUUUGCUGUAUUGAAUGAUAAUUAAGUUGCACUCAUGCUUACAUUUAAGAAUAAAAGUGAAUUUUACUACACCUGGCUUAGCUGAUCUCAGACAAAACACAAGUAGAAUACAAUCUUCAACCCGUAGUGCAAUUACUUACAAAUUGGUAUGUAGCAUAUCAUCCUUAGAAUUAUACCGUGUAACUAUACUAGAUGGUAAAACAUGUGGGUCAGUAUUGGGGUAAAGAUCCUGAGGACAUUGAAGAAAAUCAUUUAUUUAUCUAUGAAUGAGCUCAUUGGGCCAUAGAAAACAAGACAACUUAAAUAGUUUGAGUAAUAUACUAAUUCCUAAUGGAACCGACAAAGCA